UGGGGAAUCUUGCGCAAUGCGCGAAAGCGUGACGCAGCAACGCCGCGUGGGGGAAGAAGGCCCUCGGGUUGUAAACCCCUUUCAGGGGGGACGAAGGCAAGGCCGGUGAACAGCCGGUCGAGCUGACGGUACCCCCAGAAGAAGCUCCGGCUAACUACGUGCCAGCAGCCGCGGUAAUACGUAGGGGGCAAGCGUUGUCCGGAAUCAUUGGGCGUAAAGCGCGCGUAGGCGGCCCGAUAAGUCCGCUGUAAAAGUCCAGGGCUCAACCCUGGAAAGCCGGUGGAUACUGUCGGGCUAGAGUCCGGAAGAGGCGAGUGGAAUUCCUGGUGUAGCGGUGGAAUGCGCAGAUAUCAGGAGGAACACCAAUAGCGAAGGCAGCUCGCUGGGACGGUACUGACGCUGAGGUGCGAAAGCGUGGGGAGCAAACAG
rnacentral:rRNA from 1 species